rnacentral:rRNA from 1 species
GACGAACGCUGGCGGCGUGCUUAACACAUGCAAGUCGAACGAUGAAGCCUAGCUUGCUAGGUGGAUUAGUGGCGAACGGGUGAGUAAUACGUGAGUAACCUACCUUUAACUCUGGGAUAAGCCUGGGAAACUGGGUCUAAUACCGGAUACGACCAAUCUCCGCAUGGGGUGUUGGUGGAAAGCGUUAUGUGGUGGUUAUAGAUGGGCUCACGGCCUAUCAGCUUGUUGGUGAGGUAACGGCUCACCAAGGCGACGACGGGUAGCCGGCCUGAGAGGGUGACCGGCCACACUGGGACUGAGACACGGCCCAGACUCCUACGGGAGGCAGCAGUGGGGAAUAUUGCACAAUGGGCGCAAGCCUGAUGCAGCGACGCCGCGUGAGGGAUGACGGCCUUCGGGUUGUAAACCUCUGUUAGCAGGGAAGAAGAGAAAUUGACGGUACCUGCAGAGAAAGCGCCGGCUAACUACGUGCCAGCAGCCGCGGUAAUACGUAGGGCGCGAGCGUUGUCCGGAAUUAUUGGGCGUAAAGAGCUUGUAGGCGGUUUGUCGCGUCUGCUGUGAAAGGCCGGGGCUUAACCCCGUGUAUUGCAGUGGGUACGGGCAGACUAGAGUGCAGUAGGGGAGACUGGAACUCCUGGUGUAGCGGUGGAAUGCGCAGAUAUCAGGAAGAACACCGAUGGCGAAGGCAGGUCUCUGGGCUGUAACUGACGCUGAGAAGCGAAAGCAUGGGGAGCGAACAGG